GAUGAACGCUAGCGAUAGGCUUAACACAUGCAAGUCGAGGGGCAGCAUGGUCUUAGCUUGCUAAGGCUGAUGGCGACCGGCGCACGGGUGCGUAACGCGUAUGCAACUUGCCUCACAGAGGGGGAUCCCGUCGAAAGACGGACUAAUACCGCGUACACUCUAUGUUGGGCAUCCAAUGUAGAGGAAAUGAAAUUCGCUGUGAGAUAGGCAUGCGUCCCAUUAGCUAGUUGGUGAGGUAACGGCUCACCAAGGCGACGAUGGGUAGGGGAACUGAGAGGUUGAACCCCCACACUGGUACUGAGACACGGACCAGACUCCUACGGGAGGCAGCAGUGAGGAAUAUUGGUCAAUGGGCGAGAGCCUGAACCAGCCAAGUCGCGUGAAGGAUGACUGUCUUAUGGAUUGUAAACUUCUUUUAUACGGGAAUAACAAGAGUCACGUGUGGCUCCCUGCAUGUACCGUAUGAAUAAGCAUCGGCUAACUCCGUG
rnacentral:rRNA from 1 species